UUUUUCUUUUAAUAAUAAUAAUAAUACAAACUCCAUCUGGUGGCUUGUAAUGAUUCAAUCCCAGGCAGAUCUUUCAAUUCCAAAUGGCAAAACAAUAGCCUCCACAUCCUUAAAAAAAUCAGCAAGGAAUCUACAUCCAAUCCAAUAACCAAUAGAAUGGUGCUGAUGUGUAGAUUUCCUAAUCCACAAAUCUUCCCAUCUUUCAUUAUAACCCAUUUAUCUCCCAGCUUUCUUGACACUUGACAGACACCUCCUCUUCACAAAGUAAUUUAGACAUGGCAACCUCUGCAAUCCAACACUCUGCAUUUGCUGGGCAGACCGCUCUGAAGCAAUCAAAUGAGCUCGUUCGCAAGGUUGGCUCCUUCGACGGCGGUCGCUUUUCCAUGCGCAGAACUGUCAAGAGUGCUCCACCAAGCAUAUGGUAUUUAUUAUUCUCAAUUACAAAUUGUUAUUAUCUUAAUUUCUUAAAAAAUGGGGAUUAAGCCAAAUAAUUAGAAGAAGAAGAAGAGAAAACGAAUUUGUAGAGCUCAAAGGCAUCUUAUCUUUUAAGGAGAUGUCCAAGAAAAUAAGCAAAGAAAACUUGAGAGAGCUUUGGUUACGUGUAUGCAAGUUGCUUUGAGAAUAAACGGCUACUAUUUUGCGUUGGGGAUAUAUCUAACUGUAAUUCAUAAAACAGGUAUGGUCCAGACCGCCCAAAAUAUUUGGGUCCAUUCUCUGAGCAAACUCCCUCAUACCUUACUGGUGAAUUCCCCGGUGAUUAUGGAUGGGACACUGCUGGUUUGUCUGCAGAUCCAGAGACAUUUGCCAAGAACCGUGAGCUUGAGGUGAUCCACUGCAGAUGGGCUAUGCUUGGUGCACUUGGCUGCGUCUUCCCCGAAAUCCUAUCCAAGAAUGGUGUCAAAUUUGGCGAGGCAGUCUGGUUCAAAGCUGGAGCCCAAAUCUUUUCAGAAGGCGGUCUUGAUUAUCUUGGCAACCCUAACCUUAUCCACGCUCAGAGCAUCCUUGCAAUCUGGGCAGUUCAGGUUGUGCUAAUGGGAUUUGUUGAAGGCUAUAGAGUUGGUGGAGGACCACUCGGUGAAGGACUUGACCCCAUUUACCCUGGUGGUGCCUUUGACCCUCUGGGGUUAGCUGAUGAUCCUGAUGCAUUUGCAGAAUUGAAGGUGAAAGAGAUUAAGAACGGACGCUUGGCAAUGUUUUCCAUGUUUGGGUUCUUUGUUCAGGCUAUUGUAACUGGAAAGGGACCAAUUGAGAACCUCUUUGAUCACUUGGCUGAUCCAGUGGCCAACAAUGCAUGGGCUUAUGCCACUAACUUUGUUCCUGGAAAAUGAAGAGAGAAUCAGGUUCAACAUUACUCAGUCCUGGUGCUUUAAAUUUCUGGAAAUGUUCUUGUUGUGGAGGCCAUUAUUACUCUACGGGUGUUUUAGUAGUUGGAAAGCAUUGUAUCAACAGAACAUGAAAUCAGAUUUCUCCACGCUUGAAACUCUGUAUUUGGAAGGAAUGUGUCAUAAUUAAAUUUAAAAGCUUUCAGUCAAAACAUGACUUUUCAUUGCUAUAUACCACCAGUAAUAGUUGUAUGGUGAAAUUAACUCCUAGGCUGUGGAUCCAAAACACAGAUCAGUGGGAUCUCUCAUUUUCAUAUAUCUACAGACCGAAAUAACUCAUCUCCCUCUAUAAAAAUUCAAUUCAAUUUCUUAUUAAAUUUUUAUUUAAAAUAAAAAAAAUUAAAAUUUCAUUAUAUAUAAAAAUAAGUUUGAUGAAUAAUUUUAUAAAAAUUCAUUUAAACUCUUUUUCUUACAAAAUUAUUCAUAAACGAGGGGGUAAAAAGUUUUCCUGUCCCCAUAUUACCAAUGAAUAAACAAAGCUUACCGAUGAAUUGGCCUCUGCACUCUCCAACAUGGUCAUGCUAAUCAAGAGGUUGUUGCCCUUCAAUGGAAAAAGAAAAAUAUAUCAUGAAGAUAAUGGUUAAAAACAGAGUAUUGGGUGCUUCAUUCUGUUUAAAGUUUUUAGAAAAUAAAUUUACAUAAAAUGAAAAUUACAUAGGAAUUAGGAGCAUUUAUGCACCUAAGGACACUAAAUACAAAACGAGCUUAUUAAAACUGGUAUUUAUCGUAAUUCAAUUACAAUGCUGCUGAAAAAGGAAUUUAAUUAUAUAUCAUAAAUAUUUCUAGGGCUCCAUUUAUUUUAUAAAAAAUAACUUAAUUAUAGUUAGUUGCAAUAUUUAAAAUAAAGGGAUUAAUAAGAUUUUUAAAAAAAAUGAAAAUAGAAAAUUGGAGAGUAAAACAUGAAAUCUUUUAGAUUUAUUCAUAUUCAUUUGCAUUAUGCUAAAUCUGUGUGUGCAUGGAUUAAUAUGAUUUAUAUAUUUAAAAUAUGUUGAUGUUAAUAAAAUUCUUAAAAUUAAAAAAUAACUUUUAUUUUUUAAAUGAAAAAAUCAGUUCAUAUAUAAUAUAUGUCUUAAAAACUAAAGAAGAUAAAAAUAUUUUCCACAAAUAAAGCAUCCACUAAAAGUCAACCUGAAUUUUAUGCGUAGAUAAAAUUGUUUUAAAUUGGGUGUGAUUUUUUAUUUUCUCUAAAUACAAGAUAAUGUGAGUUAUUUCAAGUCAUGAAUCACUUAUAAUUACAAACUUGAAAGUAAGAUUGGCUAAAGACUACAUUGAUUUUUUUUUAAAAAAAAAUUAUUACUUAUUUUAUAAAAAAUAUUUUUUAAAAUAAUAAUUUAUUUAUUAACUUUUUAAUAUAUUCAAAGACAAAUAUAACUUUAUUUAAUAUGUAUUAAAAAAAAUAAAUUUAUUAGUUUCAAAUUUAAUUUUUUUCAAAAAAAAAAAAUUAAAGAGUAAAAUAUGAAAUAUUUCCUGUAUAUUUAAUUAUAUUUAUUAUUAAAUUAAAUCGAUAAAUACAAUUUUAAAAAAUAAUUUAUAAUGAGAGAAUGCGAGUUAAGGACAUAUAAAAAAUACCAUAUAGUUUUUUUUUUUUUGAAAUAGGGGGUUAGGGGAGUCGAAUUUUAGACCUUUCAAGACUAGAAAAUGCACUUUCCACCAGACUAAGUUUUGGAAUAACACCAUAUAGUUUUUAUUAUUUUAAUUAUAUUUUUUUCAAAAUUUUAAUUAUAUUUUUUUCAAAAUUUUAAUUAUAUUAAUUACAUUAUAUUACUGUGAAGUCUUUUUGACUCGAUUUGUGGCCUCUAUUCAAUCCAAGGAAGAUCUUUCAAUUCCACAUGGCAAGAGAGUAACCUCCACAUCCCUAAAAAAUCAACAAAGAAAUCUACAUCUAAUCCAAUAACCAAUAGAAUGGAGCUGAUGUGUAGAUUUCCCAAUCCACAAAUCUUCUCAUAGCCCAUUUAUCUCCCGGCUCUCUUGACACUUGACAGACACCUCCUCUCCACAAAAUUAGCAAAAGCUUCACAAAGCAAUUUAGACAUGGCAACCUCUGCAAUCCAACACUCCGCCUUUGCUGGGCAGACAGCUUUGAAGCAGUCAAAUGAGCUCGUCCGCAAGAUUGGUUCCUUCGGCGGCGGUCGCUUUUCCAUGCGCAGAACUGUCAAGAGUGCUCCACCAAGCAUAUGGUAUUUAUUAUUCUUAACCACCAAUUUAUUAUUAUCUUAAUUUCUUAACAAAUGAGGAUUAAGCCAAAUAAUUAGAAGAAGAAGAGAAAACGAAUUGUAGAUCUCAAAAGUAUUUGGGUAUUCGUGUUGGGAUCUAACGGCAUAAACUGUAAUUGAUAAAACAG
rnacentral:lncRNA from 1 species